UACGGAGGAUCCGAGCGUUAUCCGGAUUUAUUGGGUUUAAAGGGUGCGUAGGCGGACCAAUUAGUCAGUGGUGAAAGUUUGCAGCUCAACUGUAAAAUUGCCAUUGAAACUGUUGGUCUUGAGUGUAAAUGAGGUAGGCGGAAUGUGUUGUGUAGCGGUGAAAUGCUUAGAUAUAACACAGAACACCAAUUGCGAAGGCAGCUUACUGGGAUACAACUGACGCUGAGGCACGAAAGCGUGGGGAUCAAACAGG
rnacentral:rRNA from 1 species